AUCGCUUCUCGGCCUUUUGGCUAAGAUCAAGUGUAGUAUCUGUUCUUAUCAGUUUGGGCGAGAAGCAAUGAAGGAUGGCGGCAUCGUCGGCCAAUUUCUCUGAGAGGAACGCAUGGACGUAUGGAACAAGAAAUACGCUGAGAUUCGAACUUAUGGAGAAAGAAACGCAAUUUCAUGACAGAAUAACCUUC